rnacentral:rRNA from 1 species
AUUGAACGCUGGCGGCAUGCCUUACACAUGCAAGUCGAACGGUAACAGGUCUUCGGAUGCUGACGAGUGGCGAACGGGUGAGUAAUACAUCGGAACGUGCCCGAUCGUGGGGGAUAACGAAGCGAAAGCUUUGCUAAUACCGCAUACGAUCUACGGAUGAAAGCGGGGGAUCUUCGGACCUCGCGCGGACGGAGCGGCCGAUGGCAGAUUAGGUAGUUGGUGGGAUAAAAGCUUACCAAGCCGACGAUCUGUAGCUGGUCUGAGAGGAUGAUCAGCCACACUGGGACUGAGACACGGCCCAGACUCCUACGGGAGGCAGCAGUGGGGAAUUUUGGACAAUGGGCGCAAGCCUGAUCCAGCCAUGCCGCGUGCAGGAUGAAGGCCUUCGGGUUGUAAACUGCUUUUGUACGGAACGAAAAGGUGCCUUCUAAUAAAGGGCGCUCAUGACGGUACCGUAAGAAUAAGCACCGGCUAACUUCGUG